CAAGUGGGUCUCGACCUCAUCAAGGGCGACGCCGUAGGCGGCGGAGCCUUGUCUCCCCCCAACUCCACCGCCGCCCUGAGAAGCCAUUGUGUGAGCCCCCAUUCGCUGGCGCUUUUUCGAAAGGCACCCCAAGAAGUAAUAGUUAAUGCCCACAAGAUCAGUGGUCCAUCCAAGUAAUAUCAUUGUGACUCACUUGGGGUGAUGCCACGUUGGGUAUAAUCACAAGAUCCAGUGUCAAAAUCAAAUGUGUGCCCACAUUAUCUGAAGGAGAACCUUAGGUUUGAAAGAAAACAAAACAAAAAAAAAGCAUGAGAAAAGGCAAUGGUGUGAUCAUGUGUGUUGCAUCAUCAAGAUUAAAUUUUAAGCUGCUCUGUAAGGAUCGUCGGACCGGAUUCUGCUUCAAGUCUACAUGGAAUGAUCCCUCUCAAUUUUGAUUCUGUUUCAAUUUUGUCGCUUAUAAUCUACUUUUCUGCGACCGCGGCUGUACAAAAUGUUACAAACGAUCUCUCAAAGGAUCGAAACCAGUGAUGGAAAAUAAAAGAACAAGUACAUCCGAAAAUGUUCAUUCCCCGAAAAUCGGAAAAUUGUACUAAAAAACUAGUCAUUACAGAAUAAGUCCUUUGAAAGAUGCGUUUAUUUUUCUCCCUUUUUUGGGGUAAUGAAA